UACGUAGGGUGCAAGCGUUGUCCGGAAUUAUUGGGCGUAAAGAGCUCGUAGGCGGUCUGUCGCGUCGGAUGUGAAAAUCCAGGGCUCAACCCUGGACCUGCAUUCGAUACGGGCAGACUAGAGUUCGGUAGGGGAGACUGGAAUUCCUGGUGUAGCGGUGAAAUGCGCAGAUAUCGGGAAGAACACCAAUGGCGAAGGCAGCUCGCUGGGACGGUACUGACGCUGAGACGCGAAAGCGUGGGGAGCAAACAGG
rnacentral:rRNA from 1 species